rnacentral:rRNA from 1 species
AUUGAACGCUGGCGGCAUGCUUUACACAUGCAAGUCGAACGGCAGCACGGGUGCUUGCACCUGGUGGCGAGUGGCGAACGGGUGAGUAAUGCAUCGGAACGUGCCCAUGAGUGGGGGAUAGCCCGGCGAAAGCCGGAUUAAUACCGCAUACGCCCUUAGGGGGAAAGCGGGGGAUCUUCGGACCUCGCGCUAUUGGAGCGGCCGAUGUCGGAUUAGCUAGUAGGUGAGGUAAAGGCUCACCUAGGCGACGAUCCGUAGCUGGUCUGAGAGGAUGAUCAGCCACACUGGGACUGAGACACGGCCCAGACUCCUACGGGAGGCAGCAGUGGGGAAUCUUGGACAAUGGGGGCAACCCUGAUCCAGCGACGCCGCGUGGGUGACGAAGGCCUCGGUUGUAAGCCUUUCUCGGGUAGAGUGAUGACGGUACCCGA